CAAGCUUCUCCUUAAGACUGAACAAAAGACUUGAAAGAAUUUUGUGACUUCUAUGCUGGUUUAAGUUCAGGGCUGCUGCAGCCACAAGGAGAGGAAAUGAAGGCCAGAAAGAAGUGAGUGCAGCAAGCGUGGGAAAAUGUCCAUUGACGUCAUGCCACCAAGCAUGCUGGAUUCAGAAAACAAAAUAAAGCUUUUGUUCAGUGUGGCA